rnacentral:rRNA from 1 species
AAGGUGAAACCGCGAAUGGCUCAUUACAUUCACCUAAUAUACUGGAUAGUAUCAGUUACUUGGAUAACUGCGGUAAUUCUGGAGCUAAUACAUGCGUCCAAGACCCGAACUUGCGUGAGGGUCGCUUUUAUUAGAUCAAGACCAAACGACCUCGUGUCGUCCCCCUGGUGACUCUGAAUAACUUUGUGCUGAUCGCACGGCCUUGUGCCGGCGACGUAUCUUUCUAAGGUGUGCCCUAUCAACUGUCGACUGUGGCAUAGACGCCCACAGUGGUUUUGACGGGUAACGGGGAAUCAGGGUUCGAUUCCGGAGAGGGAGCCUGAGAAACGGCUACCACUUCUAAGGAAGGCAGCAGGCACGCAAAUUACCCACUGGUCGAAGACCGAGGUAGUGACGAAAACUAACGAUACCGGACUCAUCCGAGGCCCGGUAAUCGGAAUGAGUACACUUUAAAUCCUUUAACGAGGAACCAUU